rnacentral:rRNA from 1 species
GACGAACGCUGGCGGCGUGCUUAACACAUGCAAGUCGAACGAAGAGCGACGGACGCUUGCUUCUAUCAAUCUUAGUGGCGCACGGGUGUGUCACGCGUAAUCAACCUGCCCUUCAGAGGGGUACAACAGUUGGAAACGACUUCUAAUACCGCAUACGAUCUAAUCUCGGCAUCGAGGAUGGAUGAAAGGUGGCCUCUACAUGUAAGCUAUCACUGACGGAGGGUAUUGCGUCUGAUUAGCUAGUUGGAGGGGUAACGGCCCACCAAGGCGAUGAUCAGUAGCCGGUCUGAGAGGAGGAACGGCCACAUUGGGACUGAGACACGGCCCAGACUCCUACGGGAGGCAGCAGUGGGGAAUAUUCCGCAAUGGACGAAAGUCUGACGGAGCAACGCCGCGUGAGUGAUGACGGACUUCGGGUUGUAAAGAUAUGUUAAUAGGGACGAAAGGCAUUCUUGCGAAUAGUGAGAAGGAUUGACGGUACAGGAAUAGAAAGCCACGGCUAAAUACGUG